rnacentral:lncRNA from 1 species
GCGGAGUGUCUACUCAGAGGCCAGGAACUUCCGUUUCGGUCUAGCCGGGCUGCGGCCAUUGUUGAUGUGAGAGGAAUCUUUUGGCCGGUGUCCGUCCUCUUUAAGGGGCUCCGGACCUGUGAUUGCCAAGACGGGCCCAGCGUGGUAAAGGUUCAUGCCCCCGUUUUACAGGUGAGGAAACUGAAGCCCUGGGAUGUCUAGAAAUAGGAUUUUCUCAAAGUCCUUCAAAUCU